CAGGGAGACAACAAAAUGUUUAAUAUUAUUAUUUUGUCACCUUAGGUCGAUCGGUAUCUCACGUUUUUAAUUUAUUAAGAAUUUCAUUUCCUAAGUUUUUCUAGGUCACACCCAUUAUUUUUCCUGGGCCAUUAGCUCAGGUGGUUAGAGCGCACCCCUGAUAAGGGUGAGGUCCCUGGUUCAAGUCCAGGAUGGCCCAUAUCUCUAUGUUGGGGGUAUAGCUCAGUUGGUAGAGCGCCUGCUUUGCAAGCAGGAUGUCAGCGGUUCGAGUCCGCUUACCUCCACUGAUUACCACCUCUUCCAUAUUCGGUAGAAAGGAAAUUUUUUGAGUUGUGAUCAAAUUCUGAAAGAAUCUAGCUUCCUAAUGAAAUCAUUAAGAUGCUGGACUCAUUGAAUUAAUUUCAUUGUUUUCAGAGAACCUUGACAACUGCAUAGAUUAUUUUUAAAGACAAUAAGCAUCUUUAAUGAUGCAGAUUUAUUAUUUGUGCGAAUGCAUUAAUAACAAUUCUAUUAAGCUGAUGCUUCAAUUUUUUGAAGUUAUU
rnacentral:tRNA from 1 species